AUUGCUUCUCAGUCUUUUGGCUAAGAUCAAGUGUAGUCUCUGUUCUUAUCAGCUUAUAUCUGAUAUGGACAUUAAAUGGAUUUUUGGAAAUAGGAGAUGGAAUAGGAGCUUGCUGUCUUCUCCAUGCAAAUCAAACUGGUGUUACAGUAUCUCCAGGAAACGGUGCUGUGACA
rnacentral:snRNA from 1 species